CAGCCGCCGCGGUAAUUCCGGCGGCCCGAGUGGCGGCCACUAUUAUUGGGCUUAAAGCGUCCGUAGCCGGGUUGGGAAGUCCUCCGGGAAAUCUGGCCGCUUAACGGUCAGAAUUCCGGGAGAUACUGCCAGCCUAGGGACCGGGAGAGGCCGAGGGUAUUCCCGGAGUAGGGGUGAAAUCCUAUAAUCCCGGGAGGACCACCUGUGGCGAAGGCGCUCGGCUGGAACGGGUCCGACGGUGAGGGACGAAGGCCAGGGGAGCAAACCGGAUUAGAUACCCGGGUAGUCCUGGCUGUAAAGGAUGCGGGCUAGGUGUCGGGUGAGCUUCGGGCUCGCCCGGUGCCGUAGGGAAGCCGUUAAGCCCGCCGCCUGGGGAGUACGGCCGCAAGGCUGAAACUUAAAGGAAUUGGCGGG
rnacentral:rRNA from 1 species